AGAGAUGUGUGAUGACGCAUAUCAAUAAGCGGAGGAAAAGAAACUAACAAGGGAUUCCCUUAGUAACGGCGAGUGAAGCGGGAAGAGCUCAAAUUUGAAAUCUUCAAGGUUCUACCUUGACGAAUUGUAGUUUAUAGAAGUGUUUUCUGUUAGUAGGAGUGGCAAAAGUUCUUUGGAAUAGGACAUCAUAGAGGGUGAGAAUCCCGUAUUUGGUCAUUCUUUCUAGCUUUGUGAUACACUUUCAACGAGUUGGAUUGUUUGGGAAUGCAGUCCAAAAUGGGUGGUAAGUUUCAUCUAAAGCUAAAUAUUGGCGAGAGACCGAUAGCGAACAAGUAUCGUGAGGGAAAGAUGAAAAGAACUUUGAAAAGAGAGUUAAACAGUACGUGAAAUUGUCAAAAGGGAAGCGUUUGACACCAGUGUUGUUUUUCGAAAAUCAAUUACGAAUAGUUUUCGAUUUUAGAGUAAGUAUUGACCUUAUCAGGCUUGCUGCUUUUUUCUCGGAAAUUAUUUAAUGCACUUUUCAGUUAACAAGUCAACAUCAAUUUCUUUUGUUGUAAAAGGGUAAGAGGAAGGUGGCUUGCUCUUUCGGCGCAAGUGUUUAUAGCCUUGUACCUCUGCAAUCGGAGAGAUUGAGGUCUGCAGCGUAGAUCCUUCGGGGUUAGAUACAUUUGUGCUAAGCUAUAGCCUUUUAUAGGACAACUUGUUGACUAUGCUCUAGUCAUGUAGCUUACUCGCUUAUGCUAUUUUACCUACGCUUAGGAUGUUGAAGAUGUAGCACAUCAU
rnacentral:rRNA from 1 species